AGCAGCCGCCGCGGGAAAACGUAGGGUGCGAGCGUUAAUCGGAAUUACUGGGCGUAAAGCGUGCGCAGGCGGUUUUGUAAGACAGGUGUGAAAUCCCCGGGCUCAACCUGGGAAUGGCGCUUGUGACUGCAAAGCUAGAGUGCGGCAGAGGGGGAUGGAAUUCCGCGUGUAGCAGUGAAAUGCGUAGAUAUGCGGAGGAACACCGAUGGCGAAGGCAAUCCCCUGGGCCUGCACUGACGCUCAUGCACGAAAGCGUGGGGAGCAAACAGGAUUAGAUACCCGCGUAGUCCCUGUCUCUUAUAC
rnacentral:rRNA from 1 species